UGCAUGAAGUCGGAAUUGCUAGUAAUCGCGGAUCAGCAUGCCGCGGUGAAUACGUUCUCGGGCCUUGUACACACCGCCCGUCACACCAUGGGAGUCGGUAACACCCGAAGUCUGUAGCCUGACGCAAGAGGGCGCAGCCGAAGGUGGGAUUGAUGACUGGGGUGAAGUCGUAACAAGGUAUC
rnacentral:rRNA from 1 species